rnacentral:lncRNA from 1 species
CUCAAUGAGCAUAGCUCACUAAGCCCAAGCAAGCCUAUCCAUUUACCUUUGCUUAACAAAUUUAUCAUAUCAUGCAUACACACACACUUUUUUUCGAGUGUGAACAUAGCCAAAAUAUAAUGGCAUUAUCGAUAAUAAUAUACAUGCACUAUACCAGUCAUGUAUUUAGCAAUUUACAUUGCAUACACAUAUUCACAUUGUUAGAUUGUGUUCACAAUACAAA